GUUAACCUUGUGAGUUACAAGUUUUGUUUAUAUUUUCUUUCUUAUAACUUACCAUGCGUUUGUCUCAGAAACUCUUUUACCAGCAGCACGCAAAUGCUCCUCAACAACGUUUGUAACAUACCAAGGAUAAAUCUUCUACCACCCACAUUACAAACUACGCAUAACACAGUCAGUUGCGCGUUUGCUACUCAUUGGAAGACGCUGAAGACAACAUAUAAUGGUACAAACAAUAUUUCCCGUCGGCGAAGCAUUGUGUUAUAACAGAUGACAUAAUCCGACGACACCACGAUCCAAACUUCCAAAGGGCUAAAAGUAUAACCUAACAUUAACCGAUUACCAUCUAUGAGAAAAUUGCAACUACCACAAGCAUAGGAAAACCGCAAUAACUGUGUACGUAUUCCAGCCAUCCCAUUAAACUGGCGGUUAGCACAAGCCACUUAGCGAGAUAAUUUGCAAAUGUUAUAUCUCAAGAGUAAAACACAAUCUGCUUAAAAAGUUGGAAGGAAAAUACAGAAAAGCUCAACCAAACAAACAUUUAGUGCACAAAAGUUCUUAGAUCCACUCCAUCACCUUCCCAAAUUACUAUAAAAAGAUUUUCUAGAACUUAUGAAUCUUGAUAAGAUCUCACACGAGAACAUCUACUCUGGAUUCCCAAAACUUUGCCACGCAACAUAUCUAGCCUAGGCAACAAGUGUGCUGGCAGUUGUUGAUUCAUAUUUCCAGACAGGAGGUAGCUUCUUUGUUUUCUUG
rnacentral:misc_RNA from 1 species